UAGUACGUUUUAGUUCAUUCAUAGACUGAACAGAUUGGACAAAGUGGUCAUUAUUCACCACUGCAGCGAUUUUCAUCAACUAGAUAACGAAAUGGAGUCUUCCCGGACCAUCCAAGAGACCAUUAGAGGUAACAUAUAUGAAGUGUCCUGCUAUAUAAUUCAAGCACGACUCAAUGACACACUUCAGUAAUUACAGUAUAACAGUAAUUCCUUUAUACUAGGCUUUCAUCCAAGAACUUGCGUUCCUUGUUGUUAGGUAGCAAUGUUGUUUAUCAGUUUAUAGCCAGUCAACUUCAAGUUUUGGUGGAAAAAUCCGUGAAGAAACCACUAUACGUUAUCUCUAUAAAAAAAAUUUAUAUGACGCAUGUCUAAUAGUUUUAAAAUUUUAUUUGAGACACGCUUAUAAUAGUUGUAUUUUACUACGAUUUUAAGUUAAUAAGAGUAUACUUUCAGGUUAUAAUAAUAAUUUACUGAAAGAUCUAUUGUUUUGCCCAAAUACAACGAAUUGUUCAGUGUCAAAGGUUUUCUUUGCAAAUAAAAAUAAGCCUUUGAAAUGUGUUGCACUUAAUUAAGUGUAAUCAAAUGUUUAUUAAUUAUAUAUACUGUACUAUAUUUUACUACAUGCUCGCAAUAUAUCCGUUUAAUUGAUUUCUUGGUCUAUUUUAAAAAUACAUUGUAUAUAGUAUUAAAAUAAUUUAUUAUACCCAAAGCAAUUUCCUUCCCAAAUUCUACACAAUUCCAUGAGGAAUUCCAACUGGAUCUUAUAUGAAUUUCUAUGAAAACAAAUUUUCUAUAGGAUUUUUCAUUAGAAUUCUUAUAGGAAAUCUAUGACUUAAUAGAUUAGAUUUAAUUAAAUCAGCCCAAAUCCUGUACAAUCCUAGAGGAAAUCCUAUAAAAGUAUAAAAUAUGAAUUCCUAAUAUAUACAUGGUCACAAAACAUUCUAUUAGAUAUAUUAUAUUAAAUAUUCCUAUUAGAUUUUUAUUCAUGCAUUCCUAUAGGAUGGCCAGGAUGGUAACUUCAUUCUAGUCAUGACAUUCUAGCUCUUGGCAUCAGCAACUAUUAUUUUCUGUGAUAAUCACAAUGUGUGCAUUGUGUCACAAUACUGUACUGUAGUGUAAUCAGUACUCCUAAAGCCUGUUUGCCACUUUACUAGUAUCAUACAAUAACUUAAUUAGAAAAAAAAUUUAAAUUUGGUCAAUCUUGCUUGGUUAAUACUUCCGUAGUAUAUAUAAAAAAGUUCAUUGCAAUGAACCUUUAAUUUUGAUAAUUAUGUGCAUGGAUCAAAGCAUAUGAAAUUUUAAAUUUUAAUUCAAUGGAACAAUUAUUAACCCAUUAAGCAACAAUGCAUCCCAUUAUAUUCCUCUGUUUAAUGCCACACAAUUUUACUUGUCCAGGACAGGAAAGUAUGCGUAUUGGUCAUUAAUUGAUUAAAUAAAUAUUUUCCAACAGGCUCACAUCCAACCUCUUCAAGUUUCAGACCAAAUCAUGCAAGACUCUGUAUAAUUACACAAUCCCGACAAGUUAUGGAUUUAGAUAAGGCUACCCAGUCUAAAAAAAGAUCAAAUGCU
rnacentral:lncRNA from 1 species